GUCUCUUUGAUUUAUUUUAAUAAAGAGUUGGGCCUGCUCGGUGAUUAAUAUUUAACAGCUGCGGUAUUAUAACUGUACUAAGGUAGCAUAAUAAUUUGCCUUAUAAAUUGAGGCUAGAAUGAAUGGUUUGACGAAAAUUAUACUGUCUCUGUCUUAUUUAUUAGAAGUUAAUUUUUAUAGUGAGAAAGCUUGGAUAAUUUAAAGGGACGAAAAGACCCUAUUGAGCUUUAUAUUAUACUUUAAAAUUAUUUAUUGUUUUUAUUUAAAUAUAAUUUUGGUUGGGGUGAUCAAGGAAUAAAUAAUUAAUUUUAACUUCCUUAAUUUGUUUAUAGUUAUAUGAAUAAACCAAGUUUUUUGUUUAGAAGAUAAGUUACCAUAGGGAUAAAACAGCGUAAUUUUUUUUGAAAGUUCAUAUUGAAAAAAGAGAUUGCGACCUCGAUGUUGGAUUAAAAUAACCUUAAGGUGAAGAGGCUUUAAUUGGUGAAUCUGUUCGAUUUUUAAAAUUUUAC
rnacentral:rRNA from 1 species